rnacentral:rRNA from 1 species
UUKGGAGGGGCAAAGUCUGGGUGCCAGGCAGCCGCGGUAAWUUCCAGCUCCAAUAGCGUAUAUUUAAAGUUGUUGCAGUUAAAAAAGCUCGUAGUUGAAUUUYGAGAUCAGUACGYUGGUKCGUGCCUUCGGUAWGCAUUGGKGUCASUGGUUUCUCCCUUSUGAAGAACCGUCAUGCCAUUCAGUUGGUGUGGCGGGGAAUCAGGACUGUUACWUUGAAAAAAUUAGAGUGUUUAAAGCAGGCUCGCGCUUGAAUACAUUAGCAUGGAAUAAUGAAAUAGGACGUUUGACCCUAUUUUGUUGGUUUCUAGGAUCGACGUAAUGAUUAAUAGGGAUAGUUGGGGGCAUUAGUAUUCAAUUGUCAGAGGUGAAAUUCUUGGAUUUAUUGAAGACUAASUACUGCGAAAGCAUUUGCCAAGGAUGUUUUCAUUAAUCAAGAACGAAAGUUAGGGGAUCGAAGACGAUCAGAUACCGUCGUAGUCUUAACCAUAARCUAUGCCGAYUAGGGAUCGGAUGAUGUUAAUUUUUUAAUKACUCRKGRCGGCGCCUUACGGGAAAC